AUUGAACGCUGGCGGCAUGCCUUACACAUGCAAGUCGAACGGCAGCACGGGAGCAAUCCUGGUGGCGAGUGGCGAACGGGUGAGUAAUAUAUCGGAACGUGCCCGGUCGUGGGGAUAACGUAGCGAAAGCUACGCUAAUACCGCAUACGAUCUACGGAUGAAAGCGGGGGGAUCGCAAGACCUCGCGCGAUUGGAGCGGCCGAUAUCAGAUUAGGUAGUUGGUGAGGUAAAGGCUCACCAAGCCGACGAUCUGUAGCUGGUCUGAGAGGACGACCAGCCACACUGGGACUGAGACACGGCCCAGACUCCUACGGGAGGCAGCAGUGGGGAA
rnacentral:rRNA from 1 species